CCAUUUUUUUGGACAAAAAAAUAAUUGUUAAAAUAUUAGGAAAAACAAAUUGGGGCUUAGAGAGGAAGCUGAGCUGAAAAAUCCACACGAUUUCUACGCUCAAGAACAUACGCCUCAAAAUGUAGAAAUCCACACGAUUUCUUUUCUCAAGAACUUCAAAUUGACUGAAUAAGCCGAAAUCCGAAGAGAGGAAGCUGAAAAUUGGAGGAGAUGAAGAGAGGAAGCGAAGACUGAAUCAGAGUUGAAAAUUGGAGGAGCUGAACUGAUUCUACUCUCCAAAAUCGGAGGAGCUGAAAAUCAGAGGAGCUGAGCAGAGCAGAUGUUGACCAACUGAUUCUAUGCUCCAAGCUUUGUUAGUAUUCUUUGUUAACAAGCUGUUCCGUCGGAUUUCACAAAUGAACAAAAUGUUUCACACAUGAACACGCCUCACGUCUUGGGUUGUUGCAACAGUGUUUGUAAGGUGAGAUACCAAAGGAGUUCGGUAAUCUUCAGAAACUUCACGAGUUAGAUUUCGCACAGAAUGAGCUAACUGGCUCUGUUCCUCACAACAUUUUCAACUUGUCAUCACUGUAGAAUAUAGCUUUUGGAGAAAAUAAUCUUUCAGGUACUCUACCUUCAGAUUUAGGUCGUGGAAUGCCCAACCUAGAAAUAUUUUAUUGUGGAGGAAAUAAUCUGAGUAGUUUUAUCUCUACUUCAAUCUCAAAUUCAUCAAAACUCAGACAACUUGACCUCUCAUGAAACAGUUUCACAGGUAUAAUUCCUUAAUCACUUGGUAACUUAGAAUACCUUGAGUUACUUCACUUGCUGUCGAAUAAUGUUGUCAGCGAUUCAACUUUGAGCUUCCUUGCAUCAUUGAAAAACUGUAUGAAUCUAAGAGCACUAAUGUUAGUAGGUAAUCCGUUGGAUGGUGUAUUGCCUGCAUCUAUUGGUAAUUUCUCAAACUCCUUGCAAAUGUUUGAAGCAUCUAAAUGUAAGCUGAAGGGUGUCAUUCCUCGAGAAAUUGGUAAUCUUACUGGAUUGACAAGGAUUGGUAUGUUUAACAAUGAGUUAACUAGACAUAUUCCAAAUACUGUACAUGGCAUGUCGAUCCUUCAAAAACAUUACUU